rnacentral:rRNA from 1 species
UACGUAGGGCGCAAGCGUUAUCCGGAAUUAUUGGGCGUAAAGAGCUCGUAGGCGGUUUGUCGCGUCUGCCGUGAAAGUCCGGGGCUCAACUCCGGAUCUGCGGUGGGUACGGGCAGACUAGAGUGAUGUAGGGGAGACUGGAAUUCCUGGUGUAGCGGUGAAAUGCGCAGAUAUCAGGAGGAACACCGGUGGCGAAGGCGGAUCUCUGGGCCUUACCUGACGCUCAGGUGCGAAAGCUAGGGGAGCGAACAGG